UCCCCUGUAGCUCAGUCGGCAGAGCAAGUGGCUGUUAACCACUGGGUCUGGUGUUCGAAUCACCACGGGGGAGCGA
rnacentral:tRNA from 1 species